rnacentral:rRNA from 1 species
AGUGAACGCUGGCGGCGUGCUUAAUACAUGCAAGUCGAAGGAAGUGGCGCACGGGUGAGUAAUAUAUAGCUAAUCAGCCCCUUGCUAGCGGACAACAGUCAGAAAUGACUGCUAAUACUCCAUAGAAAGGGAGGAGAGUAUAUCGUAUCAGCUAGUCGGUGGGGUAACGGCCUACCGAGGUUAUGACGCGUAACUGGUCUGAGGGGAAGAGCAGUCACAUUGAAACGGAGACACGGUAGAAACCCCUACGAGAGGCAGCUGUAGGGAAUAUUGCACAAUGCGGGAAACUCUGACGGAGCAACGCCGCGUGGAGGAUGACACUUUUCGGAGCGUAAACUCCUUUUGUUAGGGAAGCGGUACCUAACGAAUAAGCACCGGCUAACUCCGUGCCAGCCGCCGCGGUAAUAC